rnacentral:tRNA from 1 species
UAGCUCAGUAGGUAAAGAAUCUGCCUGCAAUGCAGGAGACCCAGGUUCAAUUCCUGG